rnacentral:rRNA from 1 species
ACGAACGCUGGCGGCGUGCUUAACACAUGCAAGUCGCACGGAAAGGCCCUGCUUUUGUGGGGUGCUCGAGUGGCGAACGGGUGAGUAACACGUGAGUAACCUGCCCUUGACUUUGGGAUAACUUCAGGAAACUGGGGCUAAUACCGGAUAGGAGCUCCUGCUGCAUGGUGGGGGUUGGAAAGUUUCGGCGGUUGGGGAUGGACUCGCGGCUUAUCAGCUUGUUGGUGGGGUAGUGGCUUACCAAGGCUUUGACGGGUAGCCGGCCUGAGAGGGUGACCGGCCACAUUGGGACUGAGAUACGGCCCAGACUCCUACGGGAGGCAGCAGUGGGGAAUAGUGCACAAUGGGCGGAAGCCUGAUGCAGCAACGCCGCGUGCGGGAUGACGGCCUUCGGGUUGUAAACCGCUUUCGCCUGUGACGAAGCGUGAGUGACGGUAAUGGGUAAAGAAGCACCGGCUAACUACGUG